rnacentral:misc_RNA from 1 species
GAUGAAGAACGCGGCGAAAUGCGAUACUUGGUGUGAAUUGCAGAAUCCCGUGAACCAUCGAGUCUUUGAACGCAAGUUGCGCCCGAAGCCAUCAGGUUGAGGGCACGUCUGCCUGGGCGUCACAUAUCGUUGCCCAAUGCCUAUUGCAGUGCAAUAGGAAUUUCUAGGGCGAAUGAUGGCUUCCCGUGAGCGUUGUUGCCUCGCGGUUGGUUGAAAAUCGAGUCCUUGGUAGGGUGUGCCAUGGUAGAUGGUGGUCGAGUUAGAACGAUACCGAUCAUGUGCAUGCUCCCCAAAAUAUGGCCUCUAUGACCCACACGCGUCUUUUGACGCUCAUGACGAGACCUCAGGUCAGGCGGGGCUACCCGCUGAAUUUAAGCAUAUCAAUAAGCGGAGGA